rnacentral:rRNA from 1 species
GACGAACGCUGGCGGCGCGCUUAACACAUGCAAGUCGAGCGAGAACCAGCCCUUCGGGGCUGGGGAAAGCGGCGAACGGGUGAGUAGCACGUGGGUAAUCUGCCCUCGGCACCGGAAUAGCCCGGGGAAACCCGGAUUAAUGCCGGAUGGCCUCUCGAGCUCUCGAGCUCGUGAGAAAAGGUAGCUUCGGCCUCCGGCCGAGGAUGAGCCCGCGGUCGAUUAGCUUGUUGGUGAGGUAANGGCUCACCAAGGCGACGAUCGAUAGCUGGUCUGAGAGGACGAUCAGCCACACUGGGACUGAGACACGGCCCAGACUCCUACGGGAGGCAGCAGUGGGGAAUCUUGCGCAAUGGGCGAAAGCCUGACGCAGCGACGCCGUGUGC